AGAAGUUCGUUAAACCCUCCCACCUAGAGGAAGGAGAAGUGGUAACAAAGGUUUCCGUAGGUAACCUGCGGAAGGAUCAUUG
rnacentral:rRNA from 1 species